GACGGUGGCCAUGGAAGUCGGAAUCCGCUAAGGAGUGUGUAACAACUCACGGGCCGAAUGAACUAGCCCUGAAAAUGGAUGGCGCUCAAGC